UCCCCCCCGCUUUUUUUAAUAAAAAACAUCGCCUCCUUGCAAGCGUUAAACAAGUAGAGGCCCCGCCUCCGUGUGACUAUAUGUUUAACGGCCGGCGGUAUUUUAACCGUGCGAAGGUAGCGCAAUCACUUGUCUUUUAAAUGAAGACCUGUAUGAAUGGCACGACGAGGGCUAAGCUGUCUCCUCUCUCAAGUCAAUGAAAUUGAUCUCCCCGUGCAGAAGCGGGGAUGAACCCAUAAGACGAGAAGACCCUAUGGAGCUUUAGACGUAAGGUAUAUCACGUUAAACACUCCUGAAUAAAGGACAUAACUAAAUGAGCCAUACCCCCAUGUCUUUGGUUGGGGCGACCACGGGGAAACAAGCAACCCCCACGUGGAAGGGGAGCACUGCUCCUACAACCCAGAGCCGCAGCUCUAAUGAACAGAACUUCUGACCAAAUAUGAUCCGGCAAUGCCGAUCAACGGACCGAGUUACCCUAGGGAUAACAGCGCAAUCCUCUUUUAGAGCCCAUAUCGACAAGAGGGUUUACGACCUCGAUGUUGGAUCAGGACAUCCUAAUGGUGCAACCGCUAUUGAGGGUUCGUUUGUUCAACGAUUAAAGUCCUACGUGAUCUGAGUUUCAGACCCGGGG
rnacentral:rRNA from 1 species